AUUGAACGCUGGCGGAAUGCUUUACACAUGCAAGUCGAACGGCAGCACGGGUGCUUGCACCUGGUGGCGAGUGGCGAACGGGUGAGUAAUACAUCGGAACGUACCCAGUCGUGGGGGAUAACGUAGCGAAAGUUACGCUAAUACCGCAUACGUCCUGAGGGAGAAAGCGGGGGACCGUAAGGCCUCGCGCGAUUGGAGCGGCCGAUGGCGGAUUAGCUAGUUGGUGGGGUAAAGGCCUACCAAGGCGACGAUCCGUAGCGGGUCUGAGAGGACGGCCCGGCACACUGGAACGGAGAAACGGUCCAGACUCCUACGGGAGGCAGCAGUGGGGAAUUUUGGACAAUGGGCGAAAGCCUGAUCCAGCCAUUCCGCGUGAGUGAAGAAGGCCUUCGGGUUGUAAAGCUCUUUCGGCAGGGAAGAAACGGCUUGGGAUAAUACCCCGGGCUAAUGACGGUACCUGAAGAAGAAGCACCGGCUAACUACGUGCCAGCCGCCGCGGUAA
rnacentral:rRNA from 1 species